GUUUUGUUGGGCAUUCGGUGGAUGCCUUGGUAUCAAGAGCUGAUGAAGGACGUUGCGGCCUGCGAUAUGCCUCGGGGAGUUGGCGAGCGAGCGUUAUUAUCCGAGGGUGUCCGAAUGGGGGAACCUAACCUGGGUUGUGCUGGGUUACCAUCAUCUGAACGUGUAUAGGGUGGUGGGGGAACGCGGGGAAGUGAAACAUCUUAGUACCCGUAGGAGAAGAUAUUCCGUGAGUAGUGGCGAGCGAAAGCGGAGGAGGCUAAACCAGAUGCGUGUGAUAGGCGGCGGCUGUUGCGUGUUUGGUGUUGUGGGGCCAUGUUGGAUCCUUCUGCCGGGGGUCGCGUUGCAUUGUGUUGGGAGUUGAACAGUCUGGGAUGGCUGACCGGAG
rnacentral:rRNA from 2 species